rnacentral:rRNA from 1 species
GAUCCUGGCUCAGGAUGAACGCUAGCUACAGGCUUAACACAUGCAAGUCGAGGGGCAGCAUGGUCUUAGCUUGCUAAGACUGAUGGCGACCGGCGCACGGGUGAGCAACACGUAUCCAACCUGCCGUCUACUCUUGGACAGCCUUCUGAAAGGAAGAUUAAUACAAGAUGACAUCAUGAGUCCGCAUGUUCACAUGAUUAAAGGUAUUCCGGUAGACGA